AACACCGUGGGCACUCAAUAAAUGUUUGUUGAAUUGAGAUGCAUUGAAUUCAACGGGUAUUUAUCGAGCACCCACUCUGUG
ensembl:miRNA